AAUUUUUGCAGCUUUUUUCUGAUAUUUUUCCAUGAAAGUUUACAAGUUUUACAGAACUGAAGUACUAAGUGCUGCUGGGUGAAUUGGAAUUUGGUACCAUUGAGGAAUGAAUUUGAAUAGAAAGGACCUGAAAGAAGAUUCAAAUUGGGAUAUUUCUGUUAUGGUUGAGCAUUCAUCCUCUUGUCUUACUCCUCCUUUUUUUUCUUCUUUUUUUAAUGGAACUUCCAGGGAAGCUACAGCAUGUUGAGAUUUUGCACGAACCAAUAUGUACUGGGAAGGAAAAGGUUUCCCAUCCUUGAAUCAAAAUUUUCUUCGAAAGAGGUUCAUAUGACCAAAAUUUCAAGUAUUUGUCUUUCUAAUUGGAAAUUCUAAUGCUUAUUGCCAUUGGAAAGAGUUUGUAUGAACACGAUACAUCAAUUUGUAUUUAAACAACAAAGGAAUCGUGUUCUUUUCAUUUUGGUGUGGGUUUUUGUGGGAAUGAUUGGCAAUUGGCAUCCAGAUUAGAAUGAAAUGAAACCAUUUUCCAUUUCCAAAGCACUAUGAUUUUGACAGUUUGAGCAAAAGGAAAAGAGGUGCCUUCAAUUUACUUAUUCUAAACGAAUAUCAAGUUCAUCAAUAAGGCAAAUUCAUGGCAUUUGGAGCCUUAUUUCAUAUUUUUUAAUUGACUACUUUCGUACUAAGAAAAUGGCUUAUUUAAUUGACAACAAUAACACUAAGAAAAUCACAAAA